rnacentral:rRNA from 1 species
GAUGAACGCUGGCUACAGGCUUAACACAUGCAAGUCGAGGGGAAACGACGGGGAAGCUUGCUUCCCCGGGCGUCGACCGGCGCACGGGUGAGUAACGCGUAUCCAACCUGCCUCUGACUGAGGGAUAACCCGUCGAAAGUCGGCCUAAUACCUCAUGGCAUCGUCUGCGGGCAUCCAACGACGAUUAAAGAUUUCAUCGGUCAGGGAUGGGGAUGCGUCUGAUUAGCUUGUUGGCGGGGUAACGGCCCACCAAGGCGACGAUCAGUAGGGGUUCUGAGAGGAAGGUCCCCCACAUUGGAACUGAGACACGGUCCAAACUCCUACGGGAGGCAGCAGUGAGGAAUAUUGGUCAAUGGGCGAGAGCCUGAACCAGCCAAGUAGCGUGCAGGAUGACGGCCCUAUGGGUUGUAAACUGCUUUUAUGCGGGGAUAAAGUGAGGGACGUGUCCUUCCAUUGCAG